ACGACUACAUAUCAGGCAUAUCAAUAAGCGGAGGAAAAGAAACUAACUAGGAUUCCCCUCAGUAACGGCGAGUGAAGCGGGAAGAGCUCAAAUUUGAAAUCUUACAAGGUUUUACCUUGACGAAUUGUAGUUUAAAGAAGUGUUUUCGGUUAGAGGAGUUUAGUAAAAGUUCUUUGGAAUAGGACAUCAUAGAGGGUGAGAAUCCCGUAUUUGACCUAUUAUUUCCUAGCUUUGUGAUACACUUUCAAAGAGUCGGAUUGUUUGGGAAUGCAGUCCAAAAUGGGUGGUAAAUUUCAUCUAAAGCUAAAUAUUGGCGAGAGACCGAUAGCGAACAAGUACCGUGAGGGAAAGAUGAAAAGAACUUUGAAAAGAGAGUUAAACAGUACGUGAAAUUGUCAAAAGGGAAGCGUUUGACACCAGUGUUGUUUCUACGAAAAUCAAUUAAAUGAUGCUUGAUGCUAAGCUAGUAUGACUUAUCCGCUUGUUGUUUAGUUUUCUUGUCUUUGUGAUGCACUUUUCGUGUAACAAGUCAACAUCAAUUUCUUCUGCUGUAAAAGGGUAGAAGGAAGGUGGCUUCGCUUCGGUUGAAGUGUUUAUAGCCUUUAUGCCUCUGCAGGUCGGAGAGAUUGAGGUCUGCAGCGUAGACUCUUCGGGGUUAGAUACGUCUGUGCUAAGCUAUAGCUUUGUCAUAGACAACUUGUUGACUAUGUUUAGUCAUGUGGCUUACCCGCUGGCGCUAUUUUACCUACGCUUAGGAUGUUGACACACGCGCGUGCUCG
rnacentral:rRNA from 1 species